rnacentral:rRNA from 1 species
UACGUAGGGGCCGAGCGUUGUCCGGAGUUAUUGGGCGUAAAGCGCGCGCAGGCGGCCUCGCGCGCCCGACGUGAAAGCCCCCGGCUUAACCGGGGAGGGUCGUUGGGGACGGCGGGGCUCGAGGCUGGUAGAGGGCGGUGGAAUUCCGGGUGUAGUGGUGGAAUGCGUAGAGCUCCGGAGGAACACCAGUGGCGAAGGCGGCCGCCUGGGCCAGUCCUGACGCUGAGCCGCGAAAGCGUGGGGAGCGAUCCGG